CACGGAGUAGUUAAUCCAUCAGAAGCACCAUAUCAUGGCACUGAUAAUACAUCGUUAGCAACCAAGAGCUAAACAAACACCACACAAAAUAGAAUGCCAUCAUAAUAUCAACAGCGGUUGGUCUUUCACAAGCACCACAUUAAAGUUUUCUGGGGUCGGUGUAACAGAACAUCGCAUCGCAAGCAAUACGGCACGACAAAAGGGACGAUGGACCUAGGAAGAAGCAUCACCAUCUAACACACGUCGAGACGUCCAUUCGCUAGACCAUCAAUGCGAGAGCACAUCUAACCAACACACCAUGGUCCUGCAUUCCAAAAAUUUGAACCUAACCAGUAAAGUGCAUUACAAUGCAGAAUGCGGACUUUUAAGGCAAUUGUUGGUGCUGAUUACCAGAGGAGCUUAACUGUGCAGUGCCUCAUGGUAGUCAUCAACAUUGAGACGCAGAACGGCAAGAUCAAACUGAGACUAAGGCCUGCAUAACCAUAGGAAGAAAAGGAUCAUCAACAAAGAGGACAAAGUCAAAUCAGGAAGCAGUUACUGGUUCCUCUAAAAAUUCAUUUUAGAUGACAAACUGUGGGAAGAAAAAAGAUACUAACUGAAGAACGCAGGAUUGAACUGAACAAAAUGACACUAUUGUGCUGGUGAUACUGACCAUCCUUCAGAAUUCAAGUUAAUUUGCUGCAAAUAACUACUAUCACACAUCUAGAAUGGAUAAUAUUGGUUCUGAUAGUAGAAUGUACGCUUGACAUGUCUAUUACGAUAUGGAACAUGGGCUAGACCUUCCUUAUUUUGCUUGCCGAUGGCGUUAAUGCAAUUUGCUAACGCUAAAAGUGACCGAUUAAUGUUGGCUUCUCUGAGCUUCGGACCAAAAUUAUCCGUUCAGAAGCCCACGCACUGCUCAAAAUAUUAUGUUUUGCAGUUUACUUUUGCUGACAGAGUGAAAAGAAAACAACAGACCAAAAAGAAUAGCUAUUACCUGCCCGCAAGAUCAACCAAGGCAAGAUUUCCAGGAAAGAACUUGACUACCAUAUCGUCCUUUCUCCUUGCGUUUUGCAGUAAAAAAGAGAGGAACAAACAGUAUUUUUCAUGUGAGAAUAAUUUACAAAAAUGAGGGGAGCUAUGAAUUGAUAGUAUCUGUAAUUGUUUUUGUAGACUCACAAUCUCAACAUGUUAGACUGAUAUUCUAUCAAAUCAAACCAUAUUUGAAUUUGGAGAUAUAAAAAAGAAGAAGACUCAGUUCGGUCAUCCACGUGAACGCCCCUGUGAGAAAGGGCUCUCAUUCUUUCUCCAGGCAGUAAAACAAACUCAAAGUAUACUAUUUUCCAAACAAAAAGUUGGAAAGUACAGUAAGCAAAUAAAGAAACAUAUGGAAGAAAGUGCUUUGCAAACAGAACUUCAUUAUCCUGACAUCAUUCUCAAGAAAUAGUAAUGCUCAUUUUAUGCAGUGUAAAUUAGUACAUAAUUUUUUUUCUUUGGAACAGAUUUUUAGUUGAAUAUAUCAUUAUUGCUUUUUCAAAAUCGAAUGAAUAACUAACCUGAAACUCGACUGAUUAAACUACUCGGGCAUAUGCUAUCGCCAAAUUGUGCAUAAAGGGGCUUGUAUAAAUAUUCAAAGCACAUGAUGGAUUCAGAGUACAAAGCACGUAUAUAGACCAUUAGUACAAGAAGAGUGUAACUAAAGAAGUUUGAUAAUAAUAAUAAAUAAAAUAACACAGGUCUAGGCCAUCGUACCAUCAUAAAAACAUCACUUUCACUCUCUCUGCCACGAGGCGCCCGAGAUGACUGUGCUGCUACAUAUUGUAUACGAAUAUACCUUCAUCGUUGGUGUAUAUUGGAUCGCCGCUCCUUGCCCCUGUCAUGAUGUUACUAUAUAUAUCAGAUGCUUAGUUCUUACUGGAGCCCUAGCAUGAGCGAAAGAGCAUUAGUAUUCUUAGUUAUACUCAUACAACAUGAUAUUUUUAACUGAACUAAGCAUCCAACAGUGUAUGAGCAACUAACCAUGGAGUCAAUCAAAACUACAUCGGGACGGAAACUACACAUGUACCCCAAAAAUCCAACUAUCCAUGUGAAAUCGGAGAGAGGAAAUUGUAACCACAUGCAUAUAAUUGAGCAUGGAAAAAAUAUAUUAGCACAUGCCUUUCUUCUCAUACAAACUGCAUCUAUAUUGAAAAUGUGAGAACAUGCCUUUUUUCAAAAAAAAGCAAGUUUCAGCAUGGGCUCCAUUAAUAUGGACAUCCACUUAAACAAAGCUAACCGGUAUAUUAGAAUCUGAGAAUAGCCAUGCACCAUCCCAUCGCAACAUAAGUAAUAUAUGCUUUUGAUGGCCAUGACAUGUGGCAUGCACCCUUUUGACAAACAAAAUGACAGAAAAAUAUGUUGGAUCUACUGUUAACUCGAUUCGGUUUUGAAGGCAAUGCUGGUUCAUGCAAGAAGGACAAGCUGCAAGACUCUAGGCAUGAACGAAAAAUUGGCUAGUCACGUAAGAAGAAAUACAAGGGAAAAUUUUCUGUCCCAACUCCUAUUUGUGAUCACCUCACUAUGGAUGGAUUCUUUUUCUGGACAGUGAGCACAACAGCAACACACAUUCUUUUUGGGCUUUAUCAGUUCAUAAGAAGACAAAAGAUUUUUGAUAAAGGCAAUGAUGCUCGACGAACAUUCACUUGGAAUAAUGAACUAAUACAUGUUAGUAAUUUUCUUUAUAUUGACACCUGGUUAGUAUCCUGGUUCGUUAAACUGGCAUUUGCUGGACUGAAAGGAAACCACAUCAUCUUUGUUUUUUUUUAGGGAGGGUCUUGUUUACUCUCUAAGCACCCUAAAAAAAUAAAUGGCACAGGUAUAUAAUAGUUUCUUUGAUGUGUUAAUUUUGAAACAAUCAAAACUCAAAAGCUUCAUUAAACUUGUUUUAGCCUAGUUAACAUUAACUCGCUAGGUUUGGAUCACUGAUCUUUUUCCUCUGAAUGUUCCCAUGAUCUUCCCAUGAUCUGUUUUAGCGUUUGUUUCUUUUUGUAAAGAACAAUGAAUGUAUACAUGCUAGUAAUUAACCUGUAAAAUCGUGUACUACAUCGGCAAUAAUCUAAUGAUCCAACAGCAACCGAAUACCAAGUUUUCUCAUAAAUAAAAAUAGCUCUUACAUAAUACCUUCAAAGCACAAUCCUGAUGUAACUACAUGCUAGUAAUUAACCUGUAAAAUCGUGUACUACAUCGGCAAUAAUCUAAUGAUCCAACAGCAACCGAAAUACCAAGUUUUCUCAUAAAUAAAAAUAGCUCUUGCAUAAUACCUUCAAAGCAUAAUCCUGGUGCAACUCACAAACCAAUCAAGCCCAUAACAUUGGCAACCCCUCAUGUCCGGUGAAUGUACCCAUUCAAUAUUCCAAUUAUCAAUCCCCAUCCUGCAAGAAACAACAAUAAUAUCACUCCACAACUUGCUUGGAUUUUCAUUGGACCCUUCACAAUUCCGAAUUCAGAAAUGAUGUGACUGGCAUUUCCAAACAACAAACCUGGUAGGAAUGCAUACCUACAAUUUGCAAAGAGCAACAACAAUUCAGAAUCAAGGCCAAGAGAAUCAACAACAUAUAGAAAGAAAGAACCAUUUAAGCUCUACAAUCUUGACUACAAUGUGAUCAAUUGUUUGAUCAAUUACACCUACAACCUAUAGGAUGAAUGGCUUAUCCUCAACCUUUGUAGUUCUAAGCCAAUCCAACUGAAUAGUCAUUACAGCACAUGGAAAUCUGAACUGAAUUACGAAAGCAUUCUGGGCCUACUCCAAACCUCAUGGACAUAAAUACUGAUAAUGACCAAGACAACACACAGUCGACUAAUUUUAAGCAGCAAACAACAUAGGGUGGAAUCAGAGUUCAACCUCUUCUUGUCCGAUCUUCCCAUAAACAUUAUUCUGCAUUGCUGAAAUCAAAACAAACUACAUCAAUAUAUGAAGUAAAUCUCAAGAAAAUGAAUGAUCGAAUAAAAUUUCCUCUGUAAAGUAGUGCAGUAGCAGGAUAGUAGAUAAAUGCUACCAGUAACAACAGAAAAGUGAAGACGAAUGUAACCGUAUAAUUUAGAACAUGUCCAUAUGAUGCCCAUCAAAUUAACCUACUGCUGUUAUCUAUCACGUAUAGUAGAUCUACCACAACACAUAGAAAAGCUGAAUAAAGUUAUGCUCAUAAUCGUGGUGGGGUUAUUAAUUAGGAGACUACUAAUCUGCUGGAGAGAACAAUGCACAUCGAUGAUUGUACAGAAUUUCAGAGUUGCAGAAUGAAGCCCACUUAGCAUGUGUUUGCUUCUAAUACACCAUGGCUUACAAAACUAACACAAAGACCUCGUACUGCCCCGUGAUAGUGGUGACCUGCAAUCCAAGACAAUGAGACGAGCAGCCGUCAGAGAGAGAGAGAGAGAGAGAGAGAGAGAGAGAGAGGUGAACCUGUAACAGCGGCUUGGGUGGAGCUGCAGUCCACGGAGGUGCAGAUGCAGGCAAGGAGCACCAGAGGGAGUGGAGAAGAGACGACAGCGACGACGCCAGGGGCGCAGAGAGCAGGCUGGACAUCUUCGCCCGUCUGUGACGCAGCCUCCACU
rnacentral:lncRNA from 1 species